AUGAGGGCGACGCUCUGGGCCAUUCUCUCUGUGACAGUCCUUGGGGGGCCUUGGCGAAUCCGUGGCCUCCCUGAGUAUCAUCACUUAAAGGCGGGCUACGCAGCUCUAACAGUUAGACUCGUGAGGGGUGACGGGGGGCAUCCUGACUGCCCUGGGGUCCUGCUGUCGAUUCUGCUCACUGGCUCUAUGAAGGCGCUCUCAGGAGGUAAGCGCCUUACCCGACGGUGGGUGCAAUCAGUCCGGUAGCUUCAGGGGAAGGAAUGGGGUGCCAUUCAGAAGAAUGUGCAGUCCAGGGCUUUGGAUGAAGGAACACUGGGUGUUUUGGAUGAAGGAUUACGAGUUCCAUGAUCCAAGUCCCUGUUUCUUCACCUCAUAUGGUGUAACCAUCUCUGUCUCAAAUACGGAAUAUGGAAUGGGAUGGAAGGAACCAGGCUGACGUGCAGAGUAGUUCCUCCAUAAACUAGUUCUUUUCCUUCCAGCCUUGGAGGUGCUGCAGAGCUGAAGCAGGUGCACUCCUGCCCCACCCGCAGGAGGUCCCCGCUUAGAAGCAGGUCUCAGAGUCCCGUCAGAUGCCCUUGAGUUGAGCCGUCUAAUGCGCUGGCCCGGAGCCACAUGUACUACUGAGCAUUAGGCCAGUUCAAAUUCAGAUGAGCUGUCAGUAUAGACUACAUGCCAGAUUUCCAAGACACCGUAAGAAAAAAAAAAGUAACAAUUUGUAUUAAGAAUGUUCAUAUCUGUCAUCUGUUGAAAUGAGAAUAUUUUGGACAUAAUAUGUUAAAUAAAAUAUAUUUAUACAUGUUUUACAUGCAUACAUUUUACAUAAAUAUAUUUUUAUUUAAAAAGUAAAACACUUUUGCUUUUUAAAAUUGUGGCUAUUGGGAAUCCCUGGAUGGCUCAGCAGUUAAGCAUCUGCCUUUGGCCCAGGGUAUAGUCCUGGAGUCCCAGGAUUGAGUCCCACGUCGGGCUCCAUGUAUGGAGCCUGCUUCUCCCUCUGCCUGUGUCUCUGCCUCUCUCUCUCUGUCUCUCAUGAAUAAAUAAAUAAAAUCUUUUAAAAAUAAAUAAAAUAAAAUAAAAUAAAAUAAAUAAAAUAAGUGACUAUGGAAUGCCUAAAGUUACACACGGAGCUCACAUGUGUGGUUCACAUUUCUACUGGACAGUGUUGCCCUAGAACAUAAUUCUCAAAUAUCUUAGAUCACGCAGUUCAUCAAUGUUAAAUAGUUUGAGGAUGCACUCCCCCCCAAAAUGUAAAUUUUUUUGUUUGAAGUUUACUUUACCUACAUUAGAAAACAUACAAAAAUCACAAGCAAGUGUAUGAAUAGAAGCCCCAGUAUCUUCUUCCCACACCCCGAAGAUCACCAUGUGUACCCCUGAGAUGUGCACAUGUCUCUUUGUAAAUUGCUACCUUAGACCUGGCUCUUGAGGGCGUCUGAGUGGCUCAGUUGGUUAAGCACCUGCCUUUGGCUCAGGACAUGAGCUCAUGUUCUUGGGAUGGAGCCCAGUAUUGGGCUCCCUGCUCACUGGGGAGUCUGCUUCUCCCUUUCCCUUUGCCCCUCCCUGGCCUCAUGUUCUCUCUCGUGCACACACACACACACUCUCUCUCUCUCUCUAAUAAAUACAUAAAAUCUUAAAAAAAAAAAAAAAGAAAAGAAAAAAGAAAAAAAAAGAACUGGCUCCGAUGAGGCAGAGGACCUAUAUUUAUCACACUCCUUUGGAGAGAAGGAGAACUGGGUGCUUUUAACCCGAGAGAAACAGAAUUACAAUAAAAAUGGAAACAAUACACAGAUUACAUAAAUAACAACCAAAGUAAAAUAUUACAAAUGUUACACCUUGAGUAAAAAAAAAAAAAAAAAGAAGGCUGGCAGUUGUAGCUGCAGAAUUUUUUUGGGAGGUGAGCAAGUGGAAGAGGGGCCAAGUGAGAGGCAGGGAGACCUAGCCCCCAAAGCUAUCUGUGCAUAGAACUUGGCAUAGGAUUGCAAAAUUGUCAUUUGUUGGAAUCAAAGAUUACGGGGGAGAA
rnacentral:lncRNA from 1 species